rnacentral:rRNA from 1 species
UACGGGGGGAGCAAGCGUUGUUCGGAUUUACUGGGCGUAAAGGGCGCGUAGGCGGUCAGCACAAGUCAGUUGUGAAAUCUCCGGGCUUAACUCGGAAAGGUCAACUGAUACUGUGCGGCUAGAGUGCAGAAGGGGCAACUGGAAUUCUUGGUGUAGCGGUGAAAUGCGUAGAUAUCAAGAGGAACACCUGCGGCGAAGGCGGGUUGCUGGGCUGACACUGACGCUGAGGCGCGAAAGCUAGGGGAGCGAACGGG